rnacentral:rRNA from 1 species
GACGAACCGUGCGAACGUUGUUCGGAAUCACUGGGCUUAAAGGGCGCGUAGGCGGGCAAGCAAGUCCGGGGUGAAAUCUUUCGGCUCAACCGGAAAAGUGCCUUGGAUACUGCUUGUCUCGAGGGAGGUAGGGGUUGCUGGAACUUCCGGUGGAGCGGUGAAAUGCGUUGAUAUCGGGAGGAAUACCAGUGGCGAAGGCGGCCUUCUGGACUGACACUGACGCUGAGGCGCGAAAGCCAGGGGAGCAAACGGG